rnacentral:rRNA from 1 species
CACGUAGUUAGCCGUGGCUUUCUGAUUAGGUACCGUCAAGAUGCGCACAGUUACUUACGCAUUUGUUCUUCCCUAAUAACAGAGUUUUACGAUCCGAAAACCUUCAUCACUCACGCGGCGUUGCUCCGUCAGACUUUCGUCCAUUGCGGAAGAUUCCCUACUGCUGCCUCCCGUAGGAGUCUGGACCGUGUCUCAGUUCCAGUGUGGCCGAUCACCCUCUCAGGUCGGCUACGUAUCGUUGCCUUGGUAAGCCGUUACCUUACCAACUAGCUAAUACGGCGCGGGUCCAUCUAUAAGUGAUAGCAAAACCAUCUUUUACUUUAGAACCAUGCGGUUCCAAAUGUUAUCCGGCAUUAGCUCCGGUUUCCCGAAGUUAUUCCAGUCUUAUAGGUAGGUUACCCACGUGUUACUCACCCGUCCGCCGCUAACUUCAAAGGAGCAAGCUCCUUAUCCGUUCGCUCGACUUGCAUGUAUUAGGCACGCCGCCAGCGUUUCAUCCUGAGCCAGGAUCAAACUCU